UACGUAGGGCGCAAGCGUUGUCCGGAAUUAUUGGGCGUAAAGAGCUCGUAGGCGGUUUGUCGCGUCUGUCGUGAAAGCUUGGGGCUUAACCCCAAGUCUGCGGUGGAUACGGGCAGACUAGAGGCAGGUAGGGGAGAACGGAAUUCCUGGUGUAGCGGUGAAAUGCGCAGAUAUCGGGAGGAACACCGGUGGCGAAGGCGGUUCUCUGGGCCUGUACUGACGCUGAGGCGCGAAAGCUAGGGUAGCAAACGGG
rnacentral:rRNA from 1 species